rnacentral:rRNA from 1 species
CCUACGGGUGGCAGCAGUGGGGAAUAUUGCACAAUGGGGGAAACCCUGAUGCAGCGACGCCGCGUGAGUGAAGAAGUAUUUCGGUAUGUAAAGCUCUAUCAGCAGGGAAGAAACCCACCCUCCGGGGUGGCUGACGGUACCUGACUAAGAAGCCACGGCUAACUACGUGCCAGCAGCCGCGGUAAUACGAAGGGGGCAAGCGUUAUCCGGAUUGACUGUGUGUAAAGGGAGCGUAGGUGGCAAGGCAAGUCAGAUGUGAAAACCCGGGGCCCAACCCCGGGAGUGCAUUUGAAACUGUCUGGCUAGAGUGCAGGUGUGGUAAGUGGAAUUCCUAGUGUAGCGGUGAAAUGCAUAGAUAUUAGGAGGAACACCAGUGGCUAAGGCGGCUUACUGGACUGUAACUGACACUGAGGCUCGAAAGCGUGGGGAGCAAACAGGAUUAGAUACCCGAGUAGUC